ensembl:lncRNA novel transcript
GCCAUUCUUCCGCCUCAGCCUUCCAAGUAGCUGGGACUACCGGCGCCCGCCAUCGCGCCCAGCUCAUUUUUUUGUAUUUUUAGUAGAGAGGGGGUUUCACCGUUUUAGCCAGGAUGGUCUCGAUAUCCUGACCUUGUGAUCCGCCCGCCUCGGCCUCUCAAAGUGCUGGGAUUACAGGCGUGAGCCACCGCGCCCGACCUAUUGGUUUCUUUUUUUGACACGGAGUCUCACUCUGCCACCCAGGGUGGAGUGCAGUGAUGCAACGUCUCCCUCUUGGGUUCAAGCAAUUCUCCUGCCUCAGGCUCCCAAGUAGCUGGGAUUACAGAAAACUCUUGAGUUCUCCCUGAAAGGAGACUAAAGAACAAUCCUCUGCAGAUGUGUCUGAAUCCUAAAAUGAACUUAAGUCAAGCAUGAUCCCUAAGGCUGCUCAGGGAGAGAGAACCUAGAAACCUGGCAUGCUGGCAAAAGGAGACCAUCAAGCUUCAGAUGAUCAUGCAACAAAAGUCCCAGCUAGUUCCAGGUGAAGACAACACACCUGGCCUUCAAAAAGCUACUCUGCCUCCACUAGAGAGAACAGGGCGAGAGUUCCAUGAUCCCCAGUAGAGUCUCACUCUGUGUCACAGGCUGAAGUGCAGUGGCACAAUCUUGGCUCACUGCAACCUCCACCUCCCGGGUUCAAGUGAUUCUCCUGCUUCAGCCUCCGGAGUAGCUGGGACUACAGAGUGAAGUUUGACUUAUUCCUGUGGCCAACAUGGCUUAUGGACACCAAGGACAAAUAAGUCAGAAUAACUUGAUGGAAAAGACCUUCAGCGAUAACUACAUAGUUUUCAUCUCUUGUAUGAACAAAGUGUUAAAUUUUCUCUACUAUCAAUUCUUUAGUGAUAUAUUGGCUAUGAUUUUUUUCUGUUCCAUGAUAUAUAUUAUUUUAUCAUAUAAUAUACAUUGAUAUAUGAAUUGAUUAAGGUCAGGGAUUUAUACCAAGAUAAUAAUUUGUUCUAAAAACUAUAUGUUCAGUUUUUAUCAUUAAAAACAUUUUAAAUAAUAACUAA